rnacentral:pre_miRNA from 1 species
CAAAUACUCCCUCCGUCCGAAAAUACUUGUCAUAAAAAUGGAUAAAAGGAAAUGUAUCUAGACGUAUUUUAGUUUUAGAUACAUCUCUUUUUAUCCAUUUUGAUAACAAGUAUUUUCAGACGGAGGGAGUAGAAA